GUAUUAUAGUGGGUGAUAGUGGAUAGUACUGUAAAGGAAAGUAGAAGUUAAUGGUUAGAGUUAAUUAAAGUAGGUACCUUUUGUGUCAGGGAUAGUUCAAAGUAAUAAUUAUUAAUAGGUCUAGAAAUUUUUUGAGUUAAAAAAUUAAUAUAUCUUUAUAGAAGUAAAGAAUGAAUAUUGUUUUAGUGGUGAAAAUCUUUCGAAAAUUUAGGUAGCUAGUUGAUUAAAAAAUUAUUUUAGGUAUGUGUCUGUAGGAUAUGUAGAGUGAAAGGGUAAGCUUUUUGCUAGUAGAGUAAGAUAUGUCAGAGAAUGUCUAAGAUUAGGCUUAUAAAUAGCUAUAUUUGUAGGUUGUUAUAAAUAAUUUAUUUGUUAAAUUUGUUAUCUAUAUAAUUAUUGGUUUAGUUAGUAAAUAAAUAUCUAAUAUAAAUAAUGAGUUUAUGAGUAUUUAAGUGAGAUAUAUAUAAAGAAUUUGGCUAUUAUUUUUUGGCUGUUUAACAAAAACAUUUCUUUAUGCAGAUAUAAAGUACGGCCUGCCCAAUGAUAUUGAAUGGCUGCGGUAUUUUGACCGUGCUAAGGUAGCAGAAUAGUUUGUUCUUUAAUUGGGAGUUGGUAUGAAGGGUUACACAAAGAAUAUCUUUUAAGUUAAAUUAAGUAAAUUAAGGUUUAAGUCAAAACGCUUAAAUAAUGUAAAGGGACGAUAAGACCCUAAAAGCUUUAUUUAUUAAUUUAUAAAUUAAUUAUAUUGUGAAAAUAUGUAGUUAGUAAGAUUAGCUGGGGAAGUGGUUUUAAGUAAUUAAAAUUUAAUUAUACUAAGGAUUAGGGUACACGGUCUUAUAUAUAAGAGUUGUUGGAUAGAGUUACUUUAGGGAUAACAGCGCAAUGGUUUUGGAGAGUUCUUAUUUAUAAUAUUAUGUGCGACCUCGAUGUUGAAUUAAAGAUAUCUUAAGGGGGCAGAAAACUUAUAAGAGGGUUUGUUCAACCUUUAAAUUUUUACAUGAUUUGAGUUCAAACCGGUUUAAGCCAGGUUGGGUUCUAUCUUUUACUAAAUAAGAUUUACUUUAGUACGAGAGGGCCAAGUAGGUUUAAUAAUU
rnacentral:rRNA from 1 species